rnacentral:rRNA from 1 species
UACGAAGGGGGCUAGCGUUGCUCGGAAUUACUGGGCGUAAAGCGCACGUAGGCGGCUUUCUAAGUCAGGGGUGAAAUCCUGGAGCUCAACUCCAGAACUGCCUUUGAUACUGGCGACCUUGAGUCCGGGAGAGGUGAGUGGAACUGCGAGUGUAGAGGUGAAAUUCGUAGAUAUUCGCAAGAACACCAGUGGCGAAGGCGGCUCACUGGCCCGGUACUGACGCUGAGGUGCGAAAGCGUGGGGAGCAAACAGG